GUGGCGGUGACCCGGGAGGUGGAGACUGCAGCGCUUGAAGCGCUUGCUGCAGUCCAUGCAUGCGGGUUGCUUCAUGGAGAUGUUUCCUUAAGUAACAUUAUGGUUGUGUGGGGAAAGAAGCCUACUGUCCGCAUCCUGGAUUUUGGCUUCUCGUGUAUUACCAGCAACAAGAAGUUACAGGAGGCAGAGCGCGUGCGCUUAAAGCGUCUUUUUUUCACACAUGGUGGAGCAGUGGGGGAAGAAGCAAAUGAUGCAAGAUAUCCUUGUAUUCUGCCUUGUUAAAUGCAAGGCAAGCCCUUGUCCAAGGAACUUUCACUUAUCGUGUUACAGCUAGAAGUACCGUGUUAAUGGCAUCAGAGCAGGGUCAACUCUCCAUUUGGAGAG
rnacentral:lncRNA from 1 species